UCUUUGUUGUUUCCUUUGGUCUAUAAUUUUUUUCCAUCCUUUUGUUUGGUUUGAACUCAAUUAUAAGCUUAACAUGUUAUGUGUACCACAGAAUGUGUUUUGGAAACUGAAGAGGAAGAUCUUACCAGAGAGGACGGACACUAUUCAUUUCCUGAUAAUGAAGAGGUGGCCUUUCCAACCACUGAGGACGAAGAAAUCCCACCCCCCAAGAGACUGACACAACUUUCAAAAAGAAGGGGAUGCAUCAUCAGCAAGUCGUGCAGUGAGACAUUCUUCCAAAGUGAAGUAAAGCUGCCCAGAAAAGGCGACCCUGGACACAGAAAGAGGUGAAGGCUGUCGAGAAGCACAUGAAGCGAUUCAUAUCCCUUCUGGUAUUGUACCAGGAAAGAGUGGCUGUUUAAAAUGUGAGAGGGACGAACCGGAAGCUCUCCAAAACUGGGAAUGGCAAGCAUUGAAGUUCUAUGUGUACAACCGCAUUACGGCCUCCAAAAGGAGAUUGCAGCUAAAAUAGUAUCGUAUUUUUCGGAGUAUAAGUCGCACCGGAGUAUAAGUCGCACCUGCCGAAAAUUCAUAAUAAAAAAGGAAAAAAACAUAUAUAAGUCGCACUGGAGCCCGGCCAAACUACGAAAAAACAGCGACUUAUAGUCCGAAAA